AUUGAACGCUGGCGGCGUGCUUAACACAUGCAAGUCGUGCGGUAACAGGCGUAGCAAUACGUGCUGACGAGCGGCGAACGGGUGCGUAAUACAUGGGAAUCUGCCCUUUAGUGGGGAAUAACCCGGCGAAAGCCGGGCUAAUGCCGCAUAAGAUCUUCGGAUGAAAGCGGGGGAUCGUAAGACCUCGCGCUGGUGGAUGAGCCCAUGUCGGAUUAGCUAGNGGUGAGGUAACGGCUCACCAAGGCGACGAUCCGUAGCUGGUCUGAGAGGACGGCCAGCCACACUGGGACUGAGACACGGCCCAGACUCCUACGGGAGGCAGCAGGUGGGGAAUAUUGGACAAUGGGCGAAAGCCUGAUCCAGCGACGCCGCGUGUGUGAAGAAGGCCUGC
rnacentral:rRNA from 1 species